AAAACCUUUGUGCUUUUGAAACUCGCUCUCUCUCCCUGGCAUCUCACAGCUGCGUCAGUGCAGAUCUACUGAAGUACCAUGCUACCUUCAAGACAAUCAGAGCAUUAUGACUACUAUCAACAAAGGAAACCUGAUUUGGCUGGUUAAGGAUGCAACUGAGAGGCCUUUGAUUUGAAAUGAACUCCCAAUAAACAUGGUAAACUUGAAGUGACAUGAUCCCUAAGCAUACUACAGUAUUUUGUUCUGAGACGGAAAAGCCUUGGAGUGUCAAAAACAACAGCACAACUCCACGUGUAUUUUGCCACUAUCUGCUGAAGAGAAGAGUAAUAUCAAGAAUAACAUGACCAGAUUCCUGUAUGUAAAGAUCAACUGACCAAGGGCAAAAAAGUUAUACAACUUUCUCAGUUGUCUACAGAUGCCAGUUACCUUCUGACUCCAACCCCAUCGUGUUUCCCACUGUUUCUAACAUAAAAGGAGCUCAGAUCUCAUGCUUGACUAAUAGGCGUAUUGUGUGGCAAGCAGAAGGAGCUUGGACUCAGUUACAAGGCAAUUUAUGAUUUAUUGUGCAUAUCUGAAAUUAAAAGCCAGAAGCAAACAAUUAUUUUAACAAGCUGUCAAGAUAUGCAGAGUUUUGCCAAAGAAACAUUGUUUAUACUGGUCUUUUGAACAAGAACUAAAACUUAGAAUUCCCUAAUCAAACCUGUUACACAAAAUUGUCAUAAAAUUCCUAUAAAGCAUAUGACUCACAAAUGCUAUCAAAAUCUUUCUUAAAUGUGACUGAUUUCCAAUAGAUUACCACAGUUUUAAAACUCUGAUAAUUUCCUGCCCAUUUUUCUUUAAGAUUUUAUUUUCUAUUGCUUGAAAAGAGAGGACAAAAGAGCAUCACAGGAUUAUCUACUAUUAUUAUUGAAUUUUCUUACAAUCUUGAAAAAAUACCCAACUGUUGACUUCCUGUUCCUCUGCCACUAAUCUCCCUGUGGCAGGCGCAACUCCAAUUCUCCAGAGUUGUAGGGGAAGGGAAAGAAAUCUAAAUAACAGGCUGCUACCAUUCUCUAAUUCAAAGCCAACUUACUACUCUUUUUAUUUACUGCUAUCAUCUCCUCCUCCAAUAGUCCUGAGUCCCCUUGACACCAAUCUUUUCUAUAGCACUUAUCUCCUAAUAUACCACAUAAUUCACAUUUUAAAUAUAUAUGUAUUUAAUUAUAUAUAUAAUAUAUUUAACUGUAUCUAUUUAAAUAAAUUAAAUAAAUUAUAGUA